ACGUCUUACCCUGCAUGCCUCUUCAUUCGUGGUCCAAGAGCAACUUUUGCCUUGGCCGAGUCCCGGGUUUCCUGUGCUGCGUACCCACCGCGGAGGCAUUCGUUCGUCCCAUCGUUCCUCGUUCGUCUUGUGUUGCCCCUCGUAUUCGGACACGGGACGGACCCCAAAGUCUCCUCCGUGAUCCACUUCGCGACCGUCGCGAUCGUGGGCCGCGGAGUUUUGCUCGAGCUCUCGGAUGCGGAACCCCUAGAGGGUAGGGGUCUCGCGGCCCCUGUUUUGCCCAACAAGCGUUCGUCGCUAACCGGCGCACGACUGCCGUUCCCGUCUUGAGCUGUCGUCCCCCGGGCGGCCCGCUCACGCGGUGUCGGCGUCGUAAAGGAAUGCU
rnacentral:misc_RNA from 1 species